GAACCUGCCUCAAAGAGGGGGACAACNGUUGGAAACGACUGCUGAUACCGCAUAAGCCCACGACCCGGCAUCGGGUAGAGGGAAAAGGAGCAAUCCGCUUUGAGAUGGCCUCGCGUCCGAUUAGCUAGUUGGUGAGGUAAUGGCCCACCAAGGCGACGAUCGGUAGCCGGACUGAGAGGUUGAACGGCCACAUUGGGACUGAGACACGGCCCAGACUCCUACGGGAGGCAGCAGUGGGGAAUAUUGCACAAUGGGGGAAACCCUGAUGCAGCGACGCCGCGUGGAGGAAGAAGGUCUUCGGAUUGUAAACUCCUGUUGUUGAGGAAGAUAAUGACGGUACUCAACAAGGAAGUGACGGCUAACUACGUGCCAGCAGCCGCGGUAAAACGUAGGUCACAAGCGUUGUCCGGAAUUACUGGGUGUAAAGGGAGCGCAGGCGGGAAGACAAGUUGGAAGUGAAAUCCAUGGGCUCAACCCAUGAACUGCUUUCAAAACUGUUUUUCUUGAGUAGUGCAGAGGUAGGCGGAAUUCCCGGUGUAGCGGUGGAAUGCGUAGAUAUCGGGAGGAACACCAGUGGCGAAGGCGGCCUACUGGGCACCAACUGACGCUGAGGCUCGAAAGUGUGGGUAGCAAACAGGAUUAGAUACCCUGGUAGUCCACACUGUAAACGAUGAUUACUAGGUGUUGGAGGAUUGACCCCUUCAGUGCCGCAGUUAACACA
rnacentral:rRNA from 1 species